rnacentral:tRNA from 14 species
UGGGGAAUCGUCUAGCGGUAGGACAGCGGACUCUGAAUCCGUAUGGGAAGGUUCGAAUCCUUCUUCCCCAGCCA